rnacentral:lncRNA from 1 species
UCGGUUUCAAAAUGGGUUACAAGGGAUAAUGUCAGGUGUAAGGUAGGCUGAACAAAGAAAAAAAUUGGUUUAAAGUGUGGCGUUGGGAUGGAUAAAUAAUGGUAGGAAGGGAUACUUGAUGAUCGGAGUAAUAAGAGAUGAAAAUAAAACUCGCAAGACUUUUCACUUCUUUUUUUUUCUUCUUUUUUUUACUCCUUUUUUUUUGCUCACUUCUUUUUUUUCUUUUUUUUUUGAAUUUUUUUUCACUUUAAAUACAAUUGAAUAAUACCAAAAUAUCUUCAAAAUUCACGAAAUCCUCUUUUUUUUUUGUGAUACUCCAAUACAAUAGUAAGGUAAAUACAAGGAAGGAAAAAAAAAUUAAAUUACAACUUGAAAUUUCUUUUUGAUUUUUUUCACGUUCCGAACCUACUUGCGGCCUUGUUACGAACGUCGGUGCUCCUCGUUUUGCAAGCUCUGAUACCAAAUGAUGUGAUCCGGCUCGAUGAUGUAGAGUUGAGUCACUUGUUUGCCCGAUCGUCGACGAGAAGAGUCGUUCGUUUGGUGAGAAAAAUGGAUUUUGAUUAACUUUAAGCGGAAGUUGGAAAAAGGGUUCAAAGGAUAGGUGAAGUUUGAUGAUUGAU